CUGGAAAGGGUUGAUUCAUCUGAGGUCUCAGCUCAUGAAGCUGCAGCAGCAGUGGGGAAACUGAGGCAGGCCCGGCAUGAGCUCCAGUCCUUCUACAUGCUUAUCUAGGAACUGCCUGCCAAUUUAGAAGGCCCCUGGAGACUGGGCACUGUCCAGUCCAUUAUUGGAUCUCUUGUGUCUUGUGUAUAACCAGACAGAACGAGAGGUCUUUGUAUAUUUGCCCAACACGUAGUGACUGUGUCUCGGUGUUCUUCCGUGCAGGGUGCAGUGGCUCAUAGCCAGAGAUGAACUGUGUGCCGUGAGACAACAGUGUUGAACGAGGCUUGCACUCAUCCUUGGGUGUACACACGGUUGGCCAACACCAGAAGGGGGCUGCCAGCCCAGUCCUCUGUUCUGAAUCGAGUCACAUGACGGCAACGGUGUCAUCCUUUGAGCACGCCCUCACGCCCACGAAUCUUCAGCCUAUCUGGAAGAACCUUGGUUUCUAGUUGCUUGGCUUUUUUCAUAAAUGAGUCUCUCUGACGCUGAGAACGCUGGGAACUCAGAAAUGCAAUCAGUGGGGAACCUUUUCCAUGUGGUCACAGCUUCCCAGUGAGUUCAUCUUGAAACCGGAAGUGAGCAAGAGACAAUUUGGCAGCCCAGAGACCGAGCCUGCUGCUUGGAUGAUGAGGGACCAUGGACACAGCUUCUCCGAUGAAGUCAUGCCAGAGAUAGGACUUGAAGGAUGGAUGUUGGCAAGACAGGAGAGAAGGAUACUCCUGGCAGAGACAACAGCAGGUUCAAAGUGCAAAGGCCUUUGAGAGGAGCAUGGAAACAACAGCUGUAGUUCUGUCUUCAGUGCCAUGGUAAGGAAGAGACAAUGGUUGGUGGCAGCCAGAAGCCACUGAGGGCCAUGGACCAAUGUAAUUCGCAGAUUGGCUCCUUUGGCAGCUCUGUGGGGCUUGGGCUGGAGAUUGAGGACAGCUGGGCUUCUUCAUAAGAAUCCACAUGAAGAGCAGUGAGGCCUGGGCCACAGCAGUAGGGCUGGGUAUGGGGACAGACUUCAGGGUGUGCAAGGGGGUAGGGCUUAGAGCAUGGAUUGGGGGAGGUAGGAAGGCUGAGGAGAAAAGAGACCAGAGGGGAAGUGGAAUGGAUGGCAUUGUCUUUCUCCACCACCAGAAGAACAUCUUGAGUAGGCAUAGACAUGAGCACUGGAGCCAUGGGGUGGCUGGGUCCUGCCUUCAUUUCUAAAGGGGGCUGGCCAAAGGGUAGUGAGGGAGAAGUAGAGCCUGCAGGCUUGUGGUUUCUGAGAUCCUGGUGGGGAUGGACCGUGGCACCGAGGGAAAAGGCAUCUAGGGCAUAGAAGGAGGCAGAGUUUGGUCUUAGAGAAUCAAGAGAAGGCACUAGAUCAAUUCAGGUGCAGAUACCAGAGCAGAAUUCGGUAUCCUUCAUUAACCUGGACAUAGACAGGGAAAACCAUAGGAUUCUGGGAACUCUGAGGGUUGAGGAGGUGAACAGGCUCGUGAUGACAGAUUUAGGCAUUUCAAAGCCUGCUAGAACUGGAAGUGACUGAAGUUUGAUCUGGAUGCGCUGUUUUCUCUCUGAUAAUGGGAAGAGUCCAAGUACCCAGGAACUCCUAUCUUGGCAGCUUGGUAGCAAGGAAGAGAUCUAGAACAGGAGUCUACCAACUACCCCAUGCAGAAAGUCAGACUCUGCUGAAUGGCACCCGCAGUGAAGGGACUGAGAUUGCACCCUACAUAUAGGCUCACAAAUUAGCCCACCCGUAUCAUGGCUGCUAAUAGAGUAGAGCCUCCAGGUGGGAUGAAGGACUGCUGUUCACUGCGGUGGCUGAAGCAGGUGUCAGCUCCAGGUCCUCACAGGGCUUUGCAAAGUGUUUCAUGGGCAGCACAGGGAAGAUUGCAUUUCAAGAGGGAUCCCUAAGUAGAGUCCCCCAAAAUUUUAAUGUUAGACAGGUGCUUAUUUCAUAGCAGGGCGGCCUCCUCUUGCCCAUGCACUCCUUCACUUCUGCAUUUGUUACAUCCUGGAAAUGACCAUCUAAAACAAAAGACUCUCCGAGGAUGUGGGAGAAUGGAUGGGAAUCAUGGGAACACCCCCCCCCCCAACCAUAUAGCCAUAGAAAACCAAUGUUAUGGGGUUGGGGAUUUAGCUCAGUGGUAGAGCGCUUGCCUAGCAAGCGCAGGGCCCUGGGUUCGAUCCCCAGCUCCGAGAAAAAAGAAAAAAAAGAAAACCAACGUUACAUUUUCCUAUCCUUGGAACUAGGUAUAACCAUAUCUCUCUCUCUCUCUCUCUCUCUCUCUCUCUCUCUCUCUCUCUCUCCUUCCCUCCCUCCCUUCCUCCUUUCCUCUUUCCUUCUCCCUCCCUCUCUUCCUCUUCCUCUCUCUCUCUCUCUCUCUCUCUCUCUCUCUCUCUUCCUCUCUCUUCCUCCUUCCCUCUCCCUUUCUAUCCCUCCUUACCCGCCUCUCUCCAGGGUUUUUCUGUGUAACUCUAGCUAUCCUGGAACUCACCAUGUAGACCAGGUUUGUCUAGAACUCAGAGAUCCUCCUGCCUCAGCCUCCCCAGGGCAGGGAUUAAUGACAUGCUCUGCCAUGACCCUACUUAAGCUUCCAGCUCCUAAGCUUCAGGGAAAUCUCCAUGGCAGGCACGCACCAUGGACAUCUUCGUCCAGUCUCCUUUUUCGUUUGU